rnacentral:rRNA from 1 species
AUGAGCUCGCGUCUGAUUAGCUAGUUGGUGUGGUAAGAGCGCACCAAGGCGACGAUCAGUAGCUGGUCUGAGAGGAUGAUCAGCCACACUGGGACUGAGACACGGCCCAGACUCCUACGGGAGGCAGCAGUGGGGAAUUUUCCGCAAUGGGCGAAAGCCUGACGGAGCAAUACCGCGUGAGGGAGGAAGGCUCUUGGGUUGUAAACCUCUUUUCUCAAGGAAAAAAAAAAUGACGGUACUUGAGGAAUAAGCAUCGGCUAACUCCGUGCCAGCAGCCGCGGUAAUACGGAGGAUGCAAGCGUUAUCCGGAAUGAUUGGGCGUAAAGGGUCCGCAGGUGGCAAUGUAAGUCUGCUGUUAAAGAAUGAGGCUCAACCUCAUCAGAGCGGUGGAAACUACACAGCUAGAGUGCGUUCGGGGUAGAGGGAAUUCCUGGUGUAGCGGUGAAAUGCGUAGAUAUCAGGAAGAACACCAGUGGCGAAGGCGCUCUACUAGGCCGUAACUGACACUGAGGGACGAAAG